GUAACUAGUUCCGAACCGAGUCACACAGAACAAAACGUAUUUACAAGGGGGAGUGGGGCAGGGGAAAUAAUAAAACAUUGAGCAUACUUUCCACAAAAAAAGUUUAUAUUUCAAAUGAAAAAAAAAAAAAGAAAAAAAAAGAAAAAAAAAGAAAUAAAAUAAAAUCAGUCACAGAGGCAUUCAAGUAGUAAUAAUGUUAUACAGGUUUUGCUUCUCCUUUAAAUCAAGACAGAUUUGCACAAGUGUAUGCAAUAGUUUGUAUACAACCCACAGUCCUUAAUAUAUAUAUAUAUUUUUUUUUUUAGAUUUCCGUUUUUUUAAGAUGGAAGUGGUCACGCUAAUUGGUGUGUACAGGCCCAAGUGAUCCAUCAGCAACACAUGAAUGAACGCAAAUUUUACAGGCAAGCAAAUUAUAUAUAUAUAAAUAUAUUUUUUAUAUAUAUAUAUUAAAAAUAAAUGGAGAAAGACCAACACAAGGAAGCUACUUUUCUCGAGCUAACCCCUUAGGUACUGUUUUCCUUUCCUGUCCGUUUUGCUGUUAUUGCGGGGUUGCAAAACGAAGCCAACUACGACCAGAACCGGCCGAGAGCCCCGUGGAAGUGAGCGGCCACCCCGGGGUAUGCGCUGGCAGUGCCCCAGGGGCAGAGCCCGGACCGAACACCCUACUGUGCUUUUCCUCAUCGGCUUUUCCUUUUCCUCUGCGGUGGCUGAGGUUCCCAGUACAGGAGCACGAGUCUGACAGGCUGCUUGGAUUCUACUUUUCCAAGUACUGAAAACCAGGGGUGGGGAACUUUAAGUUGCAAGUUACAGGCGCCUGCCGUUAUUUUAGCUAAAGCUUGGCUUCGAAAUAAGAGGACAAAGUGUUGGGGAUCUUCUACCAGCCAAUUUUCUUUUGAAGGUCUUUUGUUUUUUUCCUUUCCCUAGCAAGGUAGGUAAAUGUAAGAUUAAAGAACACCAGCGUCUCGAUCAGGCGUCCACUGGGGCAGACGGACUGCGAUCGAGUCCGGCUCAGAGACCCACGCCACAGCAAGGCUGAUGUAAAGGGCAGAUCAAGACCAGACUGGGUUAAAAAACAAGCCCGAAAGAGAGUAACAGAAGAGAGGGACAGCUCUGAGCAGACUGUCACCAACAGCUUGGCAUCACUGACCUUCGUGUCACCAGAAAGAAAGUGCAGCCUCUGCUUCACUGGAAUGAACACGAGAUGCUUCGAAAUAAAACAGCAACCUUUGGUUUGGUAAAGAGUUAAGUGUUUUCCCAUUCAAGACAAUCUUAUGUGGAAUACUAACAAGGUAGUAAAACACAAGCAAACUAGUUUUAGAAACAAGGCCUUCGUGCUGGGCACAAGAAAUCAAGAGUCAUGUUAAACUUAUCUCAAGAAAACAAAAAGUGACUUUGGGGAGGGGUGGGGGGGGGGGCAGGAAAACAAGGAGAAGGAAGGGAACACAAAGUGCCCCUGGGCAGAAGAAACCACCACAGUCUCCUACAGCGAUGCCCCCGCUCCCGCUGCGGCUGAGGGGCUCCGAGCGGAGCAUCCCUGCGGGAUGAAGGGGGUUCCCUCGCUGGGGGCCCGGCCGCUGCCCCCGGCACAGCCGCAGGGAGGGUGGGAAGGCCGAGCCUCCUGGAAGCUGCUGCCGCCCGGAUGAGCCCCGGGUGCAGAACUGGGGGGGGAUCAAUGAGCAAAGUCUAAAUGAGCUCUGGGGCAAGUGUCCGAACGGAAGCGGUGGCUGCUAGCGGGAGGAGGAGAGGGCAGGGUGGGCAACUUGGAGACAUCCCCAAAGCCACGGCUCCCAUGAAAUGGAUGAUGGUGGAGACGGUUUCCUCUCGUUCCGCUACUGAUCAGGGUAUCACCGAAACCUUACAGCACUCAAAGAGUUAGAAAGCAGAGGGGGGAGCAAAGAUGCGGGUUUCUUCAUCGCUAGCACUGGUUUUUACAAUGAAAGGCUUCCACUAGCGGGUCAAGCCUUUGAUACACGGCAAACCCUCCCCCCUCCCCCCCCCCCCAUGGCAACCUAUUUUCCUACCACGUUGCCCGCUCCCCAUCCCGAGCCGGGGCAGUUCUUCAGACAACCUGGGAUAUGGAUUCGCUGACACGAAACGCUGAGCUCUGUUGCAUGACCCCUGCUAAGCUCCCGACCAAAUUCAAGCUGUGCAACUACAUCAAAGUCCGAAACUUCACUUAAAAAGAAAAUAAAAAAAGAGGUUAAAAAAAAAGAAAAAAAAAAAGAAAAA
rnacentral:lncRNA from 1 species